rnacentral:rRNA from 1 species
GCAUGGUAGAAGUAUCAAAGCUCCGGCGGUACAGGAUGGACCCGCGUCUGAUUAGCUAGUUGGUAAGGUAACGGCUUACCAAGGCGACGAUCAGUAGCCGACCUGAGAGGGUGAUCGGCCACAUUGGAACUGAGACACGGUCCAAACUCCUACGGGAGGCAGCAGUGGGGAAUAUUGCACAAUGGCGAAAGCCUGAUGCAGCAACGCCGCGUGAGCGAUGAAGGCCUUCGGGUCGUAAAGCUCUGUCCUCAAGGAAGAUAAUGACGGUACUUGAGGAGGAAGCCCCGGCUAACUACGUG